rnacentral:rRNA from 1 species
CACGUAGGGCGCAAGCGUUGUCCGGAAUUAUUGGGCGUAAAGAGCUCGUAGGCGGUCUGUUGCGUCCGCUGUGAAAACUCGGGGCUUAACCCCGAGCCUGCAGUGGAUACGGGCAGACUAGAGGUAGGUAGGGGAGAAUGGAAUUCCCGGUGUAGCGGUGAAAUGCGCAGAUAUCGGAGGAACACCGGUGGCGAAGGCGGUUCUCUGGGCCGUU